AGAGUUUGAUCCUGGCUUAGAAUCAACGCUGGCGGCGUGCCUAACACAUGCAAGUCGAACGAGAAAGUGGCAGCAAUGCCAUGAGUAAAGUGGCGCACGGGUGAGUAACACGUGACUAACCUACCCUGGAGUGGGGGAUAACUGAGGGAAACCUUAGCUAAUACCGCAUAAUACCCACGGGUCAAAGGAGUAAUUCGCUCUGGGAGGGGGUCGCGGCCGAUUAGUUAGUUGGCGGGUAACGGCCCACCAAGACGAUGAUCGGUAUCCGGCCUGAGAGGGCGCACGGACACACUGGAACUGAAACACGGUCCAGACUCCUACGGGAGGCAGCAGUGGGGAAUUUUGCGCAAAUGGGGGAAACCCUGACGCAGCAACGCCGCGUGGAGGAUGAAGUCCUUCGGGACGUAAACUCCUUUCGAUCGGGACGAUAAUGACGGUACCGGAAGAAGAAGCCCCGGCUAACUUCGUGCCAGCCGCCGC
rnacentral:rRNA from 1 species